rnacentral:misc_RNA from 1 species
AAGUCGUAACAAGGUUUCCGUAGGUGAACCUGCGGAAGGAUCAGUAGAGAACACCCGGCGCAAGCCGGUUCUACCCACACACACCUGUGAACCGUAUCGGCGAGGGAUUAGCGAAAGCGAAACCGAGCCAGCUUUACAAACUUUUUAUGAUGUCACGAACGUAGUCUUAUUAUAACAAUAAAACUUUCAACAACGGAUCUCUUGGCUCCC